UCUCCGGUGACACUAGUCUAACUAAUAAAUGGAUUGGACUGUGAAAAACCAUAACACAAAUAAGAAAAGCAACAUAUGAGGCACCAAUUCUAAAACAAAUGUACACUAAGAAUCAAGCAGCGUCUACUUCACUUGUUGCAGCACAAGCAAAACUCUUCUAAAUAUUAGCAUUAUCAAAAUCAUGCAAGAAAUAAAGGUAAAGUCUGAUGCAACCUGGGAAAGAAAGGUAAACUCUUGUAAACAUGCUCUGUCCAAUCAGUAAGCUUACAGAGCAUAUUGCAGCUUCAAGCAUUUUAUAACUUUUGUAUUUGCACACAUUCAAUGCUAAAUAAUGCAUACUCUUGUUGUUGUUGUUGUUGUUCUUCUUCUUCUUCUUCCUCCUGUGUGUGUGUGUCUGCGCGUGCGUGUGUCUAGGAAAUGGAUCCGAGAUUCUUCGGCAUGUUUUGAUUCUUCGCUGGUGGGAGGUUCGAUGGCGUUCUCUGGUCCGGCACCUGUAGCUCCCCCUCUCAUCUGAUCUGGCUCGCCGCCCUCGAGGUCCUCGAUUUCCGGAACAUCGCUUCCAUAUGGAGCUUCGACCCUGAUCUUCUCCGCCUCAAGGUCGAGCUUCUCCUCUUGGUCCAGCUGGUUAUCUCCAGGGUUUCGGAUGCAUAGGGCGUGGACGGAGAAGCUUCUGUGAAUGUUUUGAAUCGGGUGCUGGAUCUAGGGUUGAUGAUUUUGAGGAGCUAUGUGAUGAAUGAUAUUGGGGACGAUAAUGAGAUUCCUUUGAUCAUGGAUGAUGAAUUGGGGUCACUUUUAAGAGUUUUUCUUGAACAUGCUGAUGUUUUUUAUGAGAUUCGUGUCAAUAUUCAAAGGCAAACCCGAUGUUUUGAGACAUUGGAUUCCUCAGGCUUGGCGAUCAACUUGAGAACUGAGGCCAAAGGAAGCUCGAAUUCCUCCACCAAAGAGUUGGAAGCUCUAUCAGGGAUGCAGAAACAUGUGCAGCUGGCGCAUUUGGAUGCUUUCAAGAAAUGUUUGAGUUCUGAGAACAUGGAUGAAGCCUUUUUGCAUCGUCGGUUUUUUCAUCUGGAUCAUGGAGUGGAUCAUGGAGUUGAUGAGACUGAGUACAAGUCCAUUUUGAAGAAGGGUUACCAGCAAGGCACAGGGCAGGGGAAACAACAAAAUUGGUAAAUUGGUGUCCAAGAGUUGCAGUAAGAGUGCCUCAGAAAAAUUUAGUAAGGAGGGACUUGUCAAGUUCUCAGCGUGGGUAGCCAUACAGGUUGAUGUAGUGAAAGCAUUUAAUGUAUUGAUGGGCUGCAGUGAAAGCAUUCUCUUUUUGGAAAUCCAAAUGAUCCUGAAACUUUCAGGCGACAGUGCAAGGUUGCAGAAACCCUCUCUGAGAAGCAUUUUGACCUGGCAUUCCAACUGUUGAUAUCUACGCUGGUGUAGCAGCAUCUCUCACCGAGAGGCCAGUUAACAGAGUUCCUGAGAAACAUAAAGGCACAAUUGAUGAAGACAACUGGGACUAGGUAAAAAUAACAUCGAUAUGGUGCUAGGUGCCGCAAUUAAUGUGUAUGCCAAUAAGCACAAAGAACAGCCUGACCGGCUAAUUGACAUGUUGACCAGCUGCCACAAGUUUGAGUCAACUUACGCUAGUUGCAUGCUUUUAUUGUAUUUAAUAAGUGUCUCAAGGACCUUGGGAAUUGCUAUUGCUGUCAAAUCAUUUACUCAUUUUAUGGCAUGAUUUCCUACAUUAACAGAUCCAUGCCCAUUGGAAUUUUUGUAUAUAUUGAUAUUGCAUGACUUAUUGUCUCUUCUAUAACUUAUAGUAGUUAACAACCCCAUGAUGGGGUUGAUCUUUUUUU